CCUACGGGAGGCAGCAGUGGGGAAUAUUGGGCAAUGGGCGCAAGCCUGACCCAGGAACGCCGCGUGAAGGAAGAAGGCUUUCGGGUUGUAAACUUCUUUUCUCAGGGACGAAGAAAGUGACUGUACCUGCGGAAUAAGCCACGGCUAACUACGUGCCAGCAGCCGCGGUAAUACGUAGGUGGCAAGCGUUAUCCGGAUUUACUGGGUGUAAAGGGCGUGUAGGCGGGGAAGCAAGUCAGAUGUGAAAACCACGGGCUCAACCUGUGGCCUGCAUUGGAAACUGUUUUUCUUGAGUACUGGAGAGGCAGACGGAAGUCCUAGUGUAGCGGUGAAAUGCGUAGAUAUUAGGAGGAACACCAGUGGCGAAGGCGGUCUGCUGGACAGCAACUGACGCUGAGGCGCGAAAGCGUGGGGAGCAAACAGGAUUAGAUACCCCAGUAGUC
rnacentral:rRNA from 1 species